AGAGUUUGAUCCUGGCUCAGGAUGAACGCUAGCUACAGGCUUAACACAUGCAAGUCGAGGGGCAGCAUAAACUUAGCUUGCUAAGUUUGAUGGCGACCGGCGCACGGGUGAGUAACGCGUAUCCAACCUUCCGUACACUCAGGGAUAGCCUUUCGAGAGAAAGAUUAAUACCUGAUGGUAUGAUGAGAUUGCAUGAUAGCAUCAUUAAAGAUUUAUCGGUGUACGAUGGGGAUGCGUUCCAUUAGGUAGUAGGCGGGGUAACGGCCCACCUAGCCAACGAUGGAUAGGGGUUCUGAGAGGAAGGUCCCCCACAUUGGAACUGAGACACGGUCCAAACUCCUACGGGAGGCAGCAGUGAGGAAUAUUGGUCAAUGGACGAGAGUCUGAACCAGCCAAGUAGCGUGAAGGAUGAAGGUCCUACGGAUUGUAAACUUCUUUUAUAAGGGAAUAAACCCUCCCACGUGUGGGAGCUUGUAUGUACCUUAUGAAUAAGCAUCGGCUAACUCCGUGCCAGCAGCCGCGGUAAUACGGAGGAUGCGAGCGUUAUCCGGAUUUAUUGGGUUUAAAGGGAGCGCAGACGGGUCGUUAAGUCAGCUGUGAAAGUUUGGGGCUCAACCUUAAAAUUGCAGUUGAUACUGGCGUCCUUGAGUGCGGUUGAGGUGUGCGGAAUUCGUGGUGUAGCGGUGAAAUGCUUAGAUAUCACGAAGAACUCCGAUUGCGAAGGCAGCACACUAAUCCGUAACUGACGUUCAUGCUCGAAAGUGUGGGUAUCAAACAGGAUUAGAUACCCUGGUAGUCCACACGGUAAACGAUGGAUACUCGCUGUUGGCGAUAUACUGUCAGCGGCUUAGCGAAAGCGUUAAGUAUCCCACCUGGGGAGUACGCCGGCAACGGUGAAACUCAAAGGACAUUGACGGAAGGGCGAA
rnacentral:rRNA from 1 species